AAAUGGGCAUGUUUUUAACACGUAAAAAAGCUUGGUUUUAUCCCAAGAAUGAUGAGCAGUCUGUAAAGGGCUUAAUUACGGCAGGAAACACCAUAUUAUUAGUGUUUUAAGAAGGUGACACUGGCUAUUUGUUUAGGUGGCAUUUGUAUUGUAGUGGGUAACAGUGAAUGUGGAUUGCUUGGUUUACAGAACUGAAAGGCUUGGCCACUCAAAGACAGGGUCUCUCUGUUGUCCAGGCUACAGUGCAGUGGUGCAAUCAUAGCUCACUGCAGCCUCGAUCUCCUGGGCUCAAAUGAUCCUCCCAUCUCAGCCUCCGAAGUAGCUGGAACUACAGGU
rnacentral:lncRNA from 10 species